rnacentral:rRNA from 1 species
AACGAACGCUGGCGGCAGGCUUAACACAUGCCAGUCGAACGCCCCGCCAGGGGAGUGGCCGUCGGGUGAGUAACGCGUGGGAACAUACCCUUUCCUGCGGAAUAGCUCCGGGAAACUGGAAUUAAUACCGCAUACGCCCUACGGGGGAAAGAUUUAUCGGGGAAGGAUUGGCCCGCGUGGGAUUAGCUAGUUGGGGGGGUAAAGGCCUACCAAGGCGACGAUCCAUAGCUGGUAUGAGAGGAUGAUCAGCCACAUUGGGACUGAGACACGGCCCAAACUCCUACGGGAGGCAGCAGUGGGGAAUAUUGGACAAUGGGCGCAAGCCUGAUCCAGCCAUGCCGCGUGAGUGAUGAAGGCCUUAGGGUUGUAAAGCUCUUUCACCGAUGAAGAUAAUGACGGUAGUCGGAGAAGAAGCCCCGGCUAACUUCGUG